GCUCAAGUGUGUGCAUAGUUGUCAUCUGUGUCUGGUAGCAGUGUCUGUCUGUGUUUUGCAUUCAGAUCUUGCUAUCCACACAAACAUCAUGCAGCCAAAGAAAAACUUGGGAUCAUAGUACUGGUCUAGUGUUGUGUGUUUGGGCACGUUUCCCACUGACCAGCCUCCAAAUUCCCAAACAUGA
rnacentral:snoRNA from 1 species